AGUCUUUUUCUGUAGCUAACAAAAAACAAAACCAUAUUUCCCACUUGCAAAAGCUAAAGAGAAAAAAGCAAACCGCCCAGUCCUUAUCCGUGAUAAUAAAUAGGAAUCAAUCUAAAGCUUCUUUUAACUAAAUUUUUUUAGUAAUAUACGUUUCCACUUUUUUUCUACUUUAAUUUUCUUCUCAUCCUUCCCUUUCCUUUUUCGAUACUCUAUAGUUAUAUAUUCGUUAAAUGUCAGUCAGGAAUUUCAUCAUCGAAUAGAAGAUGUGCUACUCAGGGAUUCCUUAUUGGAUUGACAAAAGAGAACAUAUUGCAAGGGAACAGGUUCCUCUACAGGCAACUGCAGAAUCAUCAACUGGAAGCAGAGGAGUAGUUGCUGGUGCUGGAAUGGCGAAGCAGUGUAUUUGUUCACCAACAAUCCAUCCAGGAUCGUUUAGGUGCAGGCAUCAUCAUGCUGAUUAUAAAUGGGUUGUUCCACUAGGAAAUAAGCAGAAUCACUUUCGUGCUUCUGUCGCCAAGGCUCUAUGACAAUUCUGCUGUACAAAUUCAAAUUGUCAUUUGUAAUUUUUCGUUUUUUAAUAACAUGUGGAUGAUCUUAAAUAUUUACUAUGUCCCAAAUUUAUGUGAAUCUUUUUAGUUACAAAAAGAGAUUUGCAAUUAUUAUUGUUGUGAUAUGUGAAUUUAGUGUCUAACGUACAACCUCUCAAAUAAGAGAGGGGCCUCACAAAAUUUUACAAAAGGAUUUAAGAAGGUAGGGACAAUAACGUUGUGCUCAUCAUUUUGCAUUGGUGAACUACUGAAACAGCCCCCACCACCACUAAUUUCUUUCUGCUCAACUUUCGUAAGCUAAUUCAACUUUAUGUUCCAAAAUUGUUGAGCAGCUGGAAGAAAACAUUAAGAGUUAUAAACAUAUUGAACAAGAAGUAAACAAAAAGAAAAGGAGAAGACAAGUCAAGAUAGUUAUUCUAAACCUCAAUUUCAAUUUCUUCCAAAUUUGGAGAGUUUCUAAUCAAGCAAAGAAUACAUCAAACUUCACGAAAUAAAUUCCUUAAUCCGUGAAAACUAUGAAUCAAUCUAAAGCUUCUUUUUUUAGUUAUACGUUUCCACUUUUCUACUUUUCUUCUCCUUCCUCGCAAAUUACGAUACUAACAUGGUUAUAUAUUGUUGGUGCUGGUGAAUUAUUCUCCACUAUUUCAUCAUAUACAGAUGUGCUACUCAGAAGUUCCUUAUUGGGAUGGUAACCUUGACAAAAGAGCACAUCGAGGACGAUAUCUUUCUCUUGUGCAGGCACAGGUAAGCAUAAGAGGAGCUGAUAGUGCUGAAACGAAGAAGUUUGAAUGUGUUUGUUCCCCCACAAUCCAUCCAGGUUCAUUUAGAUGCAGGCAUCAUCGUGCUGAUUAUAAAUGGGUUGCUCGACUCAGACACAAAGCCUAAUUUCUUAGGCUACUUCUGUCACCAAGGUUCUAUCACAAUUUCGCUGUACAAAUUAAAAUUAUCCUUGUAAUUUUUCGUUUUGGAUUUCAUUGAAUUGAACUUUUUAAAAAAUUAAUCAGACACUCUUUUUUAACUUUUUGUAAUUUAUUUAUUGAAUUGAAGAUAUAUCAGAAAAAUAAGCUCUUAAAAGCCUGU